rnacentral:rRNA from 1 species
GACACGCUGGCGGCGUGCUUAACACAUGCAAGUCGAACGGUGACGAGGAGCUUGCUCCUCUGAUCAGUGGCGAACGGGUGAGUAACACGUGAGCAACCUGCCCCAGACUCUGGGAUAACAGUUGGAAACAGCUGCUAAUACCGGAUACGAGACGGAGAGGCAUCUCUACCGUCUGGAAAGUUUUUCGGUCUGGGAUGGACUCGCGGCCUAUCAGCUAGUUGGUGAGGUAAUGGCUCACCAAGGCGACGACGGGUAGCCGGCCUGAGAGGGCGACCGGCCACACUGGGACUGAGACACGGCCCAGACUCCUACGGGAGGCAGCAGUGGGGAAUAUUGCACAAUGGGCGAAAGCCUGAUGCAGCGACGCCGCGUGAGGGAUGAAGGCCUUCGGGUUGUAAACCUCUUUCAGCAGGGAAGAAGCGAAAGUGACGGUACCUGCAGAAGAAGCACCGGCUAACUACGUG